GUGAACGCUGGCGGUAGGCCUAACCCAUGCACGUCGAACGGCAGCACAGUAAGAGCUUGCUCUUACGGGUGGCGAGUGGCGGACGGGUGAGGAAUACAUCGGAAUCUACUUUUUCGUGGGGGAUAACGUAGGGAAACUUACGCUAAUACCGCAUACGACCUACGGGUGAAAGCAGGGGAUCUUCGGACCUUGCGCGAUUGAAUGAGCCGAUGUCGGAUUAGCUAGUUGGCGGGGUAAAGGCCCACCAAGGCGACGAUCCGUAGCUGGUCUGAGAGGAUGAUCAGCCACACUGGAACUGAGACACGGUCCAGACUCCUACGGGAGGCAGCAGUGGGGAAUAUUGGACAAUGGGCGCAAGCCUGAUCCAGCCAUACCGCGUGGGUGAAGAAGGCCUUCGGGUUGUAAAGCCCUUUUGUUGGGAAAGAAAAGCAGCAGGUUAAUACCCCGCUGUUCUGACGGUACCCAAAGAAUAAGCACCGGCUAACUUCGUG
rnacentral:rRNA from 1 species